rnacentral:lncRNA from 1 species
CAUCAAGGAUGCUAGUUACUCUUAUUAUUGUCAUUUUUCUUUGUAUGAAUAUAUUUUUGAGGUCAUUGGUGGGAAGACUCUCUUCAAACAUGAGUUAUUAAUACACUAGAAGUUCCAAUCCACUUUUAAUUUUUGGUUAAAUUGGAGAAAUAUUUGUUUCUUUGCAAGUUCAGUGGUUGGUGCAGGUGCUUUGUUGCUCCCAUUACAAACAUUGCGUGAUCCCUCCUCAUAGUCACGUCUUAUAUUCUCGAUCAUUCAAGUCCUACAACAUACAUUGUUGAGAUGGUUUAAAAUAGAUAGUAUCACCUUCCUUUUAUCAUUGCACGCUAUUAAUAUUUAUAUCUGCAUUAGCUUUAAUGAAAGGCGACUAUAAAAAUAAGGUUUGGAAGACAGCACUGCAAAUAGUUGCCAGCAUGAAGCGAGACUGGAUGCAGGUUUGCUAUCAUUCUUUCAUGUAGUUAACAUAUACUUCUUUGUUGUGCGUUGGCUAUUGUAUGAGGUGUUGAUGAAUUAUCAAUUUGGUUUACAUCCUUUACAGACAGGCAGAAAACCAAGUGGGAUAUGCGGUGCUGCAUUGUACAUCUCUGCACUUUCACAUGGGUGUAGUUACUCAAAGUCAGAAAUUGUAAGUGACAUUGUGUUGCCAUUUCUAAAUAUUUCUUUACCAGAUAUAACCAAACACUCUUAUAUUCUUACUGGAGCUCACUUGAGUGACAAUAUCACAAAUGAUAAUUGAAGAGAUUGUUGUGAAGUAAUAUGCUAUUCCUCCAUCCCUAUUGUUUUAAAUUUUUUCAUUUGAUAAGAUUUCUGGUAAUGGAUGUCCUGCAAACUACAAACUGAAGAAGUUAAUUUGUCAGUGUGUUAGCAUUGUUGCACAAUUGUUUCAAGUUUAUUGCUGUUCAUGUGUUAAAUAGUGAUGUUUCUGGAACAUGGUAAUAAGUUGUAAAGAAGCUUAUACAGUUCCUUGGUGUAGACUCUGUCAGUAGGUUCGCUCUUAUUUCACCCCCCACCCCCGGCAAACACCGGCAACCCUCUCAUUUUUGCCUGCUAUAGUUGGAUUUUGUCUAUCAUGCCUCAUAGAUGCAUUCUGUACUCUAUCCUCAUAACUUUCUUUUAUAUCUAAAAUGAUGCAAUUUGAAGGAAAGUUAUUUAGUGCUAAAAAUAGAGAUUCUUGCUCCAGAUUCUUCUAUUAAUGUUCAAAUCUAACUGAUUUUUAAGGUAAAGCUGACUGAAUUCUUGCUUAAAAAAGUAACUAUAAAAGUGAUUGAGAUUCACAUGUAUUUGCAUGAAUUUCUAACUUAUUCACCCUUCCACUGUUUUUAGGUGAAAAUUGUUCAUAUAUGUGAAGCAACACUGACCAAAAGGUUGGUUGAGUUUGAGAAUACAAAAUCUGGAAGCUUAACAGUAAGUUCCUGCUCUUCCAAGCAUGAUCUGCUAGCAUCGAACCGUGUAGCUUAUGUAACAACAGUAGGUUUCUUGUGACAUAGCAGUUCAUUUACAUAGUUGCAUUGAGAUGGAUCAUUCUGUACUACUGCCACAUCCAGAAAGUGUCUUAAGCAAAGGCAUCAGGGAUAAUAUAUUUACUGAUCUUCUGUGACAGGCUCUUUUUGUUUCUUUGUUUUUUUUCAUUCCUUUUUCCCUUCUCAUGUCAACAGUUAGCCCUUUACUUAUUCAGGUGGAAAUUAGAAGUUGCUAUUAUCCAAGAAUACAUUAUUGCCUUGUUAAAGUUGUACUGGUAUAAUUUGGAAAUACUACAUGAGCAAGCAUGAAGUUCCAGGAUCUCACUUUGGUCUAAACCUCUUAUGCUAUUAGAUUAGCACUUAAAAGUGGUUUCAUUAAAGAAAUGUAAGCAUUGCCUAUUGUCUUUCUGAAGGUUUACAGUCACAGGCUACAAUGGUUUAGUGUCGUCAUUUGAGUAUAUGAGAUAAUAUAUGUGGUUAAUCAUUUGGGAUCUCUUCUAGGUUUGUUCUGAUUAGGACGUAUGGUUUUAUGGUCUUUGAUUUUAAUUUAGCAAUGAGUUUUAGUUAAGCAUGUGCAAAAUGGUAUCGGCCCUUGAAAUGAUGGUUCUUUUUGUUGCAAAACUUGGUGCAAGGGAGCUAUAAAAGAGAUGCAAGGGAGCUAUAAUAGCAUAAUUUCUAUUUUUGGUCAACUUGCUAACCCCUGCAGUCAUGGGAAUCGUGUGUAUAAACUGAGAUAUGUGUUUUUAAAUGGUUCUUGCUUUAUCCCAAUCAUGAUUUAUAAUUACAGUUUUAAGACCAAUCAAGACUAUCUUAUUCUUCACUUGCUUCCCUGUGCAACUUAUUUGGAGUGUUUCUUUAUCAAUCGAUCUUUUUUAAUGACCUUGAUGUUGGAAACUGUACUUCUAUUUGGAUGAUGACAAAGAUAUGAAUAAAAUAUGGGCUGUUAAGGAUGUUUUGGAAAAAAUCAAGUCAAAAGGACAUAUUUGUUAUGUGCUACGAGAAUAGUAAUGGUCGGAACAGUUGUUAUUUCAAAAGGGCGAAAGGAAUAAUAAAAGGGUUAAGGUGCUUUUCUCAUUGACAGGGAAGUGGCAGCAACUGCAAGAGUAAGAUUCUAGGGCAUGUCUUAUUUUUUCUUCCCUUUUCUUUUUUCCUACUUCUUCAACUGCCUUGCUUAUCAUCUCUUAUCAACAUAAAAGGAUAGACACUGUCAAUAAAAGGCAUUAGCCAUAAGGCAGUUGCAUGCUGUUGCUUGUGGUUACGAAGGUCUGAAGCAAAAAUAAUGGAUUUUGUCCUCAAUCCUUGUUUCUAUAACCUUUGUGCAAUUAAAAGCCACUUUUAAAAUCUUGGUACCAUGAGACUCCUGGAGUCGUAGAGAUUGUUCACUAUAUAAAGCAGAGUGACUUGUUUCUCUUGAGGCUAAUAUAGAGGACUGUCUAAGAUAGGCUAACUAUGGAAAUUUGUGGAGUGAUGUUUUGGUCGUCUUUCCCUUUUAGUUUUGGAAUAGUGGAUGUUGUUUGUCAUUUAUAUUGGAGGUUUCUGAAAGAGAUAUUUGUGAGGUCUGAAAUAUGCAUGGGAGAUGGUGGAGAGCUGGUGGCAUUAAAAGGACCUAAAACGGAGUUAGUCAUAGCCCAUGUUGAGCAUAGGUUUAAUCUUUUUUGGGUUUAUUACUUUUGGAUUUUGUCAUGUUUGGCUGUUGCUUGAAGUUAGUUAAGAUUGAUGUUAAGAAAUUAUUGGAUUGACUUGCAAAAAUUCUCAUGAUAUAAAAAUGGAAUUUGUCUUUACUGAUGGAGGAUUAUGUAAAAGAGGAAAAAUUUUUUCACUCUCCUUUUCUUUGCCUCUUGUCUCUAGAAUUUCCAUUUGUGAUCAGUUUUCUUAAUAUGUCUUGAGGCUCAUACUUCCUCAACACAAUCUCUUUUCAGAUUGAGGAAUUCAAUCAGAAUGCGGAAGAGUUUGAAAAGGAGAAUCAUUCAUCCACAUCACCAGAUAUAUACCUGCAGGAGUCUGGCAAAAAGGAAGUGCUUUGCCAACACAAAGGAAAAGAACCUCAUUUUGCUCAUGGGCUUUGCAGAAGCUGCUAUAAAGAUGUGAGUUCUAUGCCUUUUUCCUUCCCUUCCCGUAACUUUUAUUUUGGAUGUGAUUUAUGCUCCUCUCAUAUGUUCCAGUUCAUUGAACUCUCUGGUGGACUUGAUGAAGGAUGUGAACCUCCAGCGUUCCAGGUUGCUGAAAGGGAUAGAUUAGCCCGAGCAUCUGCUGAGAAGGUUGGGAAUCAAAAAUUCUUGUGACCAUUGGUGGUGAUAUGAUAAGUGCUAUAAUAAAAUGUGACUAUGUAGUAAACGAUUAGAGACACCAUCUGAAUGAUGUGCAGUGUCUGAAAUGAAUCUAUUUAUACAUGAAACAUGCACUCAAAACUAUAUGAUAAAUUUAAUAGCUUAAGUAACAACUUUGAGCUAUCUUGUUAAGUGUGUCCCUGAUAAUGAAUAAAUUUUCUCCCUUGGCACGUUAAAGGCCAUGAAAUCACUUAAAGAGUAAAUAUCAACUGUGGAAGUUUUUUGGAACUUCUCAUUUCUUGACUAAUUUUUCAGUUGAGGUUGUCAUCAAUUAAUAAAUGCAUAAGUAAACAAUGACUUGCCUCUGUAUAAUCUUAGAGCUUUUAGAUAAGGUUGUCAUUUGUAUUGUACAAGCUCAAAUUUUAGUAUGAGAUUGUAAUUUAACAUUGUAGAAAACAAGCAAAGGCCUCUGACAGGGCAAUUUAACCUGCACAUGAGAAGAUAAGAUUUCAAAUUAUACUGUUGAUUUAUUUUUUAAGGAUUAUUUAGCUAAUUGGAGGGUUUGCAGCUUCAGUUAAUGCCAAAAUUGAGCUGAUGAAACUUUGUUGUUGACAUAACCAAGCACUCGAGAAUAUUUCUAUGGAAGAAAAAGUUUAAUAUGCAUAUAUCCUUUCCAUAUGCAUGAGUACUUAAUUUGAAUUUUUUUUUUUUUUUUAAUUUUGGUACUCUGACCUUAUAGAAGUUAUUUUUGUAGGAAGGAAGCACUGAUCAGGCAAAUCAAGAUAGUUGUAACCAUGAGAAAGAAGCGGUGCCAGUGUCAGCAAGUGCUUGUAAGUGUCUGAUGGUAUUGGUUUGAAAUUCUCUCCCACCUGGCAGGCCUAUGUUGUUCUUACCUCUGACUUUUGUCCUUAUUCCGGCAGCUGCCCCUCAGAAUCUGGACAAAAGUUGUGAUGACACAUUUCGCAAAGAUGACGAUAUUCCAUCUGUCACAGUUGAGACAGAUAACCUUUCUGAUAUUGAUGAUGUAGAGGUGAGUAAAUCAGUCAGAAAGGUGUGCGCAUAACCCAUUGUCUAUGCCUAUGGUUUUCCUUAAGGGAAUAGUUUGUUCUAGUUCAAGCAUGAUACAGUAUUGGCCUGACCUUGGCACCAUUGCAUAGUUCAAAUAUACCUCAUUCAUUUCGUGUGCACUCCUUUUGUUUCAUUAUUAUUUCUUUAAUGAUGCUCUCUGUUGUUCUUCCAUGGGCAUAUUUUUGUGUAAAUUUAGGUAUGACUCAGAUGGCUGAAUUCGCUCAUUUAUUGAGGGGGACAAAUUACGGAUAAUGUAAUAAUCAAAGUUUUUGUUUCACACACUCAUGAUUUUGUAUUGCAGGUCAAUUCCUACCUUAAUAGUAAGGAAGAAAGCCACUAUAAGAAGAUUAUCUGGGAACAAAUGAAUAAGGAAUACGUUAAGGUGAAUAAGAUUUUCUGACAUUGGUAACUUUCAUCCAUGAUUUGCUGAAGCAGUUCGAGAACAAGCUGUGAAAUUAUUGAUGAGAAAAGAGUGUUAACUGCUAAAUGUUUUCAGGAACAAGCAGCUAAGGAAGUGGCUGCUGCUUUACGAGAUUGUGGUGAAGUUACAGAUGAUGUCCUUGCAGCACGGAAACUUGCAGCUGCAGCUGCUGCUGCUGUGGCAAAAUCAAGAGAUGUAAGUUGCUAUGUACGUAGUUGGUAUUUUCGAAACAUUAUCCUGGACAUAUUUAUCCCAAUCAAUUGGAACUUCUCUGGUGAUAGAAUGUCUGUGAAGCUUCUGUCUUGAUUUUUUUUCUCUCUCUAACUGCACCACCCCUCCCCCCUGGGGGCAACCAAGAGAGGGAGAAUAUAGUUCCAGGUUUUGACAGCAAUGGAUUACAAGCUAUGAAGUGGUGGAAAAUGUGCUAUAGAUCCUAUCAAAGUAGAGUUUGUUUAAGAAGCAUACAUAUCAUACAUGGAGAUAUCCAUUUUCAAGUGGACUUGAGUUUAUGUUACCUUUCAUCAACAAAUGUGUUCUUCUUUCGGAGAAGAAACAAACUCGAUCUUGUUUUGGUACUAGGAUAUCCUUGACUCUGACAUAUGUUGCACUGUAACUGGCUAUUUGUCAAAUUCUCAAUUACCUUAAAAUGCUUAGCAAAUAUUUUCAAAUGAAUGACAAUUGAAAAGUGAUUAAUUAAGGUAUUUGCAAUAUAAUAUUUGUGGUGGUUCUUGAUUAGUGAACUUACUACUGCUGCACCUUAUGGACUCCCAGCAACGAAAACUGAAGAGAGCUGAAUCUAAAAAUGCUGGCCCAGCUCCAACUGCUGCUGAAGCAACCCGUCAGAUGCUGAUGAAAAAGGUAUGCCACACGAGACCUUAUGGGAUUAGUUUAUGAAAGAUUAUAUAGCAGCAGACUCUUCUUGUUCUUUUCUUAUCCAAAAACUGUGAAAUAGGAUUAAGUUCUACUCAUAUUUUUUCUUUAUCACACUUCUUCAAGUUUUUCGGUUUUCUAUGUUUUGCAGGGGUUAAGUUCGAAAAUUAAUUAUGACGUUCUGGAGAAACUAUUUGAUGAGAGUGUAUGUCAAUCUAUAUGACUUAAUUCCUUUUACUAGCUUUCUUCUGGAAUAUAUCCCGUUGAUUGAUAGUCCUUAUCAUUUCAGUUAAUUUUAGCCAUCAAGACUAGCCUUUCACUUCCACUAUAUUUGGACAAGAUGCAAGUUACAUUGUGGCAGGAAAUGAUACUUCAUUCAACAAAAUUGAUUUCACAUGCCAGAACUAUAUGUGGUGGCCAUCUGUUUUUGAUUAACAUGAAAGCGAUAAUGCUUAACGAAGUUUUUGAUCCAUAACAACUAGUCUAAGAUAAAAGAAACGGUUAUUUUCCAGAACAUUUAAAAGGCUUUAACUUACAUAUAAGCAUAAUAUUUGUGUAUAAUGUAUAAUGAGAGCACAAAGUUACCUGAAUCAGAAAAUAAUCAUUUGUGGGGAAGAAAGAAGUCUGAUAUUCUAUUUUCUCCUCUUUUAGAAAUUCAAAGUUGGUUUUCUUCACCAAACAUUGUUGCUUAGGAGCAAAAUGUCAAGUUUCUGAUAGGAUCAUCUUAAAGUUUAGUGCAGAACAUGGGGAAAGAAUGGAGAUAAGGCUGUUUGGAUUGAAGUUGGACUGCUUAGCAGAUGUAGGAUAACUUAUAUGUAAUGUGGUUUUUGACAUCUAAUCGGUGCUCCUUUGUUUGAAAUAAUGAAAGAUCCAUUGUGUUAAGCUCUGUACUUUUUUUUCACUUGAUUAAGCUUUUUCUGUUAGAAAAGGUUUGGGCUCUGUAGAGUGGAUAGUCCAUUUUCGCUUCCCAGAUUUUGAAGACUAGUUAUAAAUCUUGCUUUCAUGCUUUCUCCGUUCCUGAAUGUGUGUUCUUUAAUGCGCUUUAAUUACAUCCUCUAGCAACUGUGGUAUUUUUAGUCCAUGAAAGAUUGCGCUACUCCAACAAUAAUUAUAAUUCAAAAACAUAAUAACAUUUCUUGAGUUCAAUCUUGUGGAUCAGUAUUGAGUCAAGUUUGAGCUUUAGGAAACGGGUUCACUUUGAAUUCGACCUAUGCCGAGUCUAGUUGAGCUACGUCGAACAAUCUCAAAACGAACCAACUGCAGUCGCAGGGCUGGAUAAUCUUUUUUCUGAUUAGGUAUUAGAUUCAGUUCUUCUCCUGUUCUAUUUGGUUUGGAAGGUUUGAUAUAUCAGCUUUGGUAAGGAGAAUGUAGUUUACUUCAUUACUGAUUUCGUUCAAAAUGUGUUUCUUUUGCCAGCCUUCGGUCCAAUUAUGGCUAGUGUUUCUUUGCUUGAUCUUAUAUUUUUAAGUUUGUAUUUAGUUCUCCUAGUGACUUGUACAAGAGUUUAUGUCUGUGCAGUCGCCUCCAAGCACCAAAAAGCCUCGUAUGGAACCUCCCCGCAAUGACCACAAUGCCUCUGGAAAAUAUGCAAACAAGAAGGAUAAUGAAGCAGAAUGAACAAUGUUAAUAAGCAGGAGCUGAACGAGGAUUAU